UACGUAGGUGGCAAGCGUUGUCCGGAUUUACUGGGCGUAAAGAGCGCGCAGGCGGUUGAUUAAGUCGAAUGUGAAAGCCCCCGGCUCAACUGGGGAGGGUCAUUCGAUACUGAUCGACUUGAAGGCAGGAGAGGGUAGUGGAAUUCCCGGUGUAGUGGUGAAAUGCGUAGAUAUCGGGAGGAACACCAGUGGCGAAGGCGACUACCUGGCCUGUUCUUGACGCUGAGGAGCGAAAGCGUGGGGAGCGAACAGG
rnacentral:rRNA from 1 species